GGGAGGGGAGGGGAGAGGGGGGAGGAGAGGUUGGUGACUGGCCAAAGGGGCUUGUGGAAUAGCGGCAAUGCAGAGCAUCAAGUGCGUGGUGGUGGGUGACGGGGCGGUGGGCAAGACGUGCCUACUGAUCUGCUACACCACCAACGCCUUCCCCAAGGAGUACAUCCCCACCGUGUUUGACAACUACAGCGCCCAGAUCACGGUGGACAAUCGGGCGGUCAGCCUCAACCUGUGGGACACGGCCGGACAGGAGGAGUACGACCGCCUGCGGACCUUGUCUUACCCCCAGACCAACGUCUUCAUCAUCUGCUUCUCCAUCGCCAGCCCGCCGUCCUACGAGAACGUGCGGCACAAGUGGUUCCCGGAGGUCAGCCACCACUGCCCGGACGUGCCCAUGCUGCUGGUGGGCACCAAGAAGGACCUGCGCUCGGACCCCGACACCCUCAGCAAGCUGAAGGAGCAGAGCCUGGCCCCCAUCUCCCUGCACCAGGGCAACGGGCUGGCCAAACAGAUCCAGGCCGUCAAGUACCUCGAGUGCUCCGCGCUCAACCAGGACGGCAUCAAGGAGGUGUUCGCAGAGGCGGUCAAAGCCGUUAUCAACCCCGCACCCAUCAAACCCAAGAGGUCUUGUGUGCUCUUGUGAAGGAGGGGCACAAGCCCUCCCCCUGCUCUCCUGUCCUCCACUUCCCUCCUGUCCUCCACUUCCCUCCUGUCCUCCACUUCCCUCCUGUCCUCCACUUCCCUCCUGUCCUCCACUUCCCUCCUGUCCUCCUCCUG